rnacentral:rRNA from 1 species
GACGACCAUAGCGUCUUGGCACCACACCUUCCCAUCCCGAACAGGACCGUGAAACAAGACCGCGCCGAUGAUACUGCACCUCGCGUGUGGGAAAGUAGGUCAUCGUCAGAC